UACAUUUGUCUGCAAUUUCUCUGUGCCCUAAAAAAUGCCCAGAGUUGGGAGAUGAAACAUCUUAUUCAAGAAACAACAAGGAGGACAGUGUCAUUGGAUCACGGAAUACAAAGUAAGGUGCUGCAGGUACAUAUCAACAUAAGGUAUAUAUCAUCUUAAAAAAAACAGUAGCAUGAGGUCAACGGGCAGAGGGUCUGGUGCUUCAAGGACAAGGUGUUAGAAUGGCGUCCAGAGAAAGAACAAACCAUCAGAAAUCUGUACUUCAGCAGACAGGAGGCCACACAGUGGUGAAAAGGGUUGACAGUAAUGGUGCUGUGACAUUGGAUGGAACUAAAGGAAUGGCAGAAAACUCCA